rnacentral:rRNA from 1 species
UCGAACGAUGAUCCGGUGCUUGCACCGGGGAUUAGUGGCGAACGGGUGAGUAACACGUGAGUAACCUGCCCUUAACUCUGGGAUAAGCCUGGGAAACUGGGUCUAAUACCGGAUAUGACUGAUCAUCGCAUGGUGGUUGGUGGAAAGCUUUUUGUGGUUUUGGAUGGACUCGCGGCCUAUCAGCUUGUUGGUGAGGUAAUGGCUUACCAAGGCGACGACGGGUAGCCGGCCUGAGAGGGUGACCGGCCACACUGGGACUGAGACACGGCCCAGACUCCUACGGGAGGCAGCAGUGGGGAAUAUUGCACAAUGGGCGCAAGCCUGAUGCAGCGACGCCGCGUGAGGGAUGACGGCCUUCGGGUUGUAAACCUCUUUCAGUAGGGAAGAAGCGAAAGUGACGGUACCUGCAGAAGAAGCGCCGGCUAACUACGUGCCAGCAGCCGCGGUAAUACGUAGGGCGCAAGCGUUAUCCGGAAUUAUUGGGCGUAAAGAGCUCGUAGGCGGUUUGUCGCGUCUGCCGUGAAAGUCCGGGGCUCAACUCCGGAUCUGCGGUGGGUACGGGCAGACUAGAGUGAUGUAGGGGAGACUGGAAUUCCUGGUGUAGCGGUGAAAUGCGCAGAUAUCAGGAGGAACACCGAUGGCGAAGGCAGGUCUCUGGGCAUUAACUGACGCUGAGGAGCGAAAGCAUGGGGAGCGAACAGGAUUAGAUACCCUGGUAGUCCAUGCCGUAAACGUUGGGCACUAGGUGUGGGGGACAUUCCACGUUUUCCGCGCCGUAGCUAACGCAUUAAGUGCCCCGCCUGGGGAGUACGGCCGCAAGGCUAAAACUCAAAGGAAUUGACGGGGGCCCGCACAAGCGGCGGAGCAUGCGGAUUAAUUCGAUGCAACGCGAAGAACCUUACCAAGGCUUGACAUGAACCGGAAAGACCUGGAAACAGGUGCCCCGCUUGCGGUCGGUUUACAGGUGGUGCAUGGUUGUCGUCAGCUCGUGUCGUGAGAUGUUGGGUUAAGUCCCGCAACGAGCGCAACCCUCGUUCUAUGUUGCCAGCACGUGAUGGUGGGGACUCAUAGGAGACUGCCGGGGUCAACUCGGAGGAAGGUGGGGACGACGUCAAAUCAUCAUGCCCCUUAUGUCUUGGGCUUCACGCAUGCUACAAUGGCCGGUACAAAGGGUUGCGAUACUGUGAGGUGGAGCUAAUCCCAAAAAGCCGGUCUCAGUUCGGAUUGGGGUCUGCAACUCGACCCCAUGAAGUCGGAGUUCGCUAGUA